UGGGAUGUAGCCAAGCGGUAAGGCAAGGGACUUUGACUCCCUCAUUGCGCUGGUUCGAGUCCAGCCAUCCCAGCCA
rnacentral:tRNA from 1 species